rnacentral:rRNA from 1 species
AGUGAAUGCUGGCGGUAGGCCUAACACAUGCAAGUCGAACGGCAGCACAGUAAGAGCUUGCUCUUACGGGUGGCGAGUGGCGGACGGGUGAGGAAUACAUCGGAAUCUACUUUUUCGUGGGGGAUAACGUAGGGAAACUUACGCUAAUACCGCAUACGACCUACGGGUGAAAGCAGGGGAUCUUCGGACCUUGCGCGAUUGAAUGAGCCGAUGUCGGAUUAGCUAGUUGGCGGGGUAAAGGCCUACCAAGGCGACGAUCCGUAGCUGGUCUGAGAGGAUGAUCAGCCACACUGGAACUGAGACACGGUCCAGACUCCUACGGGAGGCAGCAGUGGGGAAUAUUGGACAAUGGGCGCAAGCCUGAUCCAGCCAUACCGCGUGGGUGAAGAAGGCCUUCGGGUUGUAAAGCCCUUUUGUUGGGAAAGAAAAGCAGCAGGUUAAUACCCCGCUGUUCUGACGGUACCCAAAGAAUAAGCACCGGCUAACUUCGUG